rnacentral:tRNA from 1 species
UCCCUGGUGGCUCAGAUGGUAAAGCAUCUACCUACAAAGCGGGAGACCCAGGUUCAAUCCCUGGAUUGGGAA